rnacentral:rRNA from 1 species
UACGUAGGGGGCAAGCGUUGUUCGGAAUUACUGGGCGUAAAGCGCGCGCAGGCGGUGAUGUAAGACAGGUGUGAAAUCCCCGGGCUUAACCUGGGAACUGCAUUUGUGACUGCAUCGCUGGAGUGCGGCAGAGGGGGAUGGAAUUCCGCGUGUAGCAGUGAAAUGCGUAGAUAUGCGGAGGAACACCGAUGGCGAAGGCAGCCCCCUGGGCUAGCACUGACGCUCAUGCACGAAAGCGUGGGGAGCAAACAGG